rnacentral:misc_RNA from 1 species
GCCAGGGGCUGAAGCCAUUUAGUUCUCGGCUGCUGCACCGCUAGGGGCUGAAGCCAUUUAGGAAGCUGAUUGCUCUUCUGCAUCAUCUCAUUGUUCUUUGUUUGGCAUCGGUUUGGUGAACUUGUAUUUGGGGAAUGGCAGUACCAAAAUGAACAUGUCUUUGGGAGUGCUUGUAUUAGCAUGAAUUCAGGUCCUGGCGUGUAUACUUUUUACCUCA